AGUGAACGCUGGCGGUAUGCCUAAUACAUGCAAGUCGAACGGCAGCACAGUAAGCGUUCGCCCCUACGGGUGGCGAGUGGCGGACGCGUGAGGCAUAGAUCGGCAUCCUCUUUUUCGUGGGGGAUAACGUAGGGCCACUUACGCUAACACCGCAUAUGAUCUACGGCUGAAAGCAGGGGUGCAUCGCACCUUUGGCGACUCUUUUAGCUGAUGUCGGAUUAGCUAGUUGGCGGGGUAACGGCCCACCAAGGCGACGAUCCGUAGCUGGUCUGAGAGGAUGAUCGGCCACACUGGAACUGAGACACGGUCCAGACUCCUACGGGAGGCAGCAGUAGGGAAUAUUGGGCAAUGGGCGAAAGCCUGACCGAGCAAUGCCGCGUGAGUGAUGAAGGCCUUCGGGUUGUAAAGCCCUGUUAUUAGGGAAGAAAAGCUGCAGAAUUAACCCUCGCUGUCUUGACGGUACCCAAAGAGAAAGCACCGGCUAACUUCGUG
rnacentral:rRNA from 1 species